GUGGGCCCUCGAAAUCCGUCGGCGGGGGAUUCAGUCGGGAAGCGUGGGCGCGAGCGCCGGUCGAUCCUUCGGACCCUUGAAUUGGGCCGGGCCGGUGCCGCAGUCUCCUCGCGACCCGACGCACUUCCUCCCGCCCCGUGGACGCCGCAGCCGGUUGGGUAGCUGCGCGAGUCGGCCAUAAGGACUUGCAACGGAAGGUGGCCAGUGGCGUUCCUCGUGUUCGUCGCUGGUCGUUAUCCAGCUCGUCCGUGGCGCGACACCCGACCGAGGUCUAUGGGUCCCAGUUAGGACCUUGCCGUCCCCUCCCUACCGUGGUAGAGCGGGCGCGCCGGCAGGCGAUCUUUCGUACGGUCGUCCCACUUUCCAAGUGGACGGUCUGCGCGAGGCGCUGUUGGUUGAAUGCGUCCCGCGUGGGGAGUCAACGGCUCGCGGCGAGUAGGUCGGUCACCCACCCGACCCGUCUUGAAACACGGACCAAGGAGUCUAACAUGUGCGCGAGUCACGGGAUCUUGUUUAGGCCCAGAGGCGCAAUGAAAGUGAAGGCAGGCCUCGACGCCUGUCGUGUUGGGACUCUCCGCGCCUCGCGCGGGGAAGCACCAACGACCCGCCCUGUCCGAUUCAUCGGUUGGGCGGAGUGUGAGCGCACACGUUGGGACCCGAAAGAUGGUGAACUAUGCCUGGGCAGGACGAAGCCAGAGGAAACUCUGGUGGAGGUCCGUAGCGGUUCUGACGUGCAAAUCGAUCGUCAGACCUGGGUAUAG
rnacentral:rRNA from 1 species